UACAGAGGGUGCGAGCGUUGUUCGGAAUUAUUGGGCGUAAAGGGCGCGUAGGCGGUGCGGUAAGUCACCUGUGAAAUCUCCUGGCUCAACUGGGAGCUUGCAGGCGAAACUGCCGUGCUGGAGUGUGGGAGAGGUGCGUGGAAUUCCUGGUGUAGCGGUGAAAUGCGUAGAUAUUCGGAAGAACACCAGUGGCGAAGGCAGCAGAUUGGGCCGGUAUUGACGCUCAGGCACGAAAGCAUGGGGAUCAAACAGG
rnacentral:rRNA from 1 species